GUCUCUGUGGCGCAAUUUGUUUAGCGCGUUCGGCUGUUAACCGAAAGGUUGCUGGUUCAAGCCCAGCCAGGGACG
rfam:Ciona savignyi cont_27698, whole genome shotgun sequence.